GGCGGAGAGCCAAGUCUGACUGG
rnacentral:tRNA from 1 species